UUAUAUCCUUGAGAGCAGAGGAAUUGCAGGUAGUCUGUGAUCUUGGUUUCGUAAACCAAACCUGGUUGCGAUGGUCCAGACAGAGUUGCUACUCCUGCACCAAAAUCAUAUGGCGUGGCAAGGUAUUCUCCAUAUGCACUAUUGACUAUCACUGGACUCUUUGUAUUGCUUUGCUGUAAAGCUAUUAAAAGGAAACAAAAGGGAUCGAAAAAAUGAGACUUGUUUUCGUAAAAUCCAUAAAUUGGAGGCACUGAUAUACUUAAAACUAUUAUCAGGUUACUACCUGUGGUCAUUAUUGCUGAUCUGAUUGCUGAUGGACUCCAGGAGGGAUUCUGAGACUUCAGUGUUGCAACAAUUGCAGAAACAUGAGCACAAGACAUGGAAGUACCUGACUCGAUGUUAAAUAGCGGUGGUUG
rnacentral:lncRNA from 1 species